UAUAUUAACUAUCAGCACAAUAAAACCAUUAAAAACGCUAUAUUUAAUGGAGUGUAUGAUUAUGUUUCUAAGGAAAGGGAAAGGACUGUAACAGGUGAACUGAUCUUGUUUUUUAGUAGGUGAAUCGGAACAUCCAGGUGUUUUACGCUGAUCCGUCUUGCAGAUCAGAUGACAUGGUGUUCUGUUUUUUUUUUUAAAUAGUCUCAAAGCUUUGCAGAAGGUGAUACAGAAGCUGAGGCAGGUUUAACAUAAUUGGGUCAAAUCUGACCUUAUUAUCUGACCUUAAACGAUGUAAUAUUUUAAUAUUUUUUUGGAAAAGCUAAUUUGUCCAAAUAAUAGGGGUUGAUUUUUGGCCAUUCUAAUCUAUUUUUUCAUGCCUACUUAAGGCUUAUUUCAUUACGGGUUUUCCAUAACUAUACUUUCCAUAUUUAUUUUCCAAAAACGUCAUUCCUUUUGUUCACACCAUGAUAACAGUCUGUGAAAUUGCAGCUAGUGUGUGUUUUCUAAUAGCGGCACAGUGUUUCAGUUUGGAUAGGAAUCGUGGAGUUGUGCCGCUGAUUACAGAGAGAUUUGGACUCCAUAAGGGCAAGUCUGAAAGACAGUUCAGGCAGGAUGUCAGGAGGAGCAGAGGGAGGCAGCAGGAGCGAGGUGGGGUGAGCUGUGACACAUCGCUUCAAGGCACAGCUCUGUCUGCUGGGAUAUCCAUGUUGCCUCUGGGUUCCUGGUAAACACGCGGCCGGCGGCGAGGUGAGGCAGCUCCUAUAAAUAGUCUCUCCUUGUACUCACUGCUCCCACACAAUCGCACACAUUCAUGCAUAAAUGUAUGCAAUGACAGACGCACGCAAGCAGCCACUAACACACGUGAUGAUCUAGGCUUUGACAGGGACACUCUUUUCUUUCUUCUCCCUCUUUCCCUGUCUCUUCGUUUCUCGCUCCCUCCAUCUCCUCUUGGCAGUUCUACUCCUUCUCCUACUUAUCAUAUGCUCUCUAACAGAUGGUGGAUAUGAUAAUUACCAGGCGGACUAAAUAGCGCAGCCAUUGUGCGUUUUCUUUGAGUUUCGUUUCUACGUUCCAGCUUCGUGUCCACUCCAACAAUGGCUGCAUUGUUUUGGUGCCACAAGCAUCAUGCUUGGCUUCCCCACAAAACCGGACUGCCAGCUUCAGCCAACAGAAGGCGUCUGUGUGUUUGGAUGAGAGGGGAAAAGAGACGGGGAGGGAGAAAAAGAGAGAGUUGGCGGAGGCAGUGGAAAAUUUGCGAGCCAAGGACAGUGACGUUGCCGAGCAGAGAACAAACUACUUCCUGAAAACCUAUUCGAGAAUGAGUUCAGCACACUGUCUCUGUGGCCUUCACCAACUCUCUGCCUUUAAUCCUGUUUUAGCUCUCUAAAAUUUCUAAAAGCAAAUGGUGUUAAAUUAUUAAAAUCUCCACAUUCCUUUAAUGUAAACUAACUGCCGUGCAGUGGUUUUAAACUGUCAAUACACCAAUACAAAUGUAACACUUUUAAAUAUAUUUUUAAAACCAGUAUGAAUAGGUUUUAAGAUCUUUGCCUCCAGGAACGUACAUACUCCAAACGACAAAUUUGAACUUGAUAGAUGCCAAAAAGCUAACUAGCUAGUUAGGUAGCAAGGGUUUGUUUUCCUUGAGUUACCGGGAACCUUGAAUCCCAGAAUACAACGAAGAUAUCUGCAUAAGACUCAAACAAUUGUCUGACAGAAAAGUCGCGCAAGAAAAAAAGACUAUAAAUAAUACAGGUUAAAUAGUCCUGCUGAGGCAAAACUUAACAUGAUUUAACUUACUUUUAAAUUAAGACAUUUGGCACUUCACUUUGUACUAAUAAGAAUCUG